UCAAAAAUAAAUAAAUAAAUAAAAAAUAAAAAUAAAAAGAGUGGAAAUCACGGAACGUGGGGAUUCUUAACAUUCAUUUCAUGUUUAUCAUUGUUUGUUUUUCUGACAGCUUAGCUUUCGUCCUAGGGAUAUGUACAGGUGCAAAUAUAUAAGUGUUUCUAUAACCCCGUCUCAUUCCUAUUAGGUUUUAAGUCUUUUUCAUAAAUAGCUUUCUGAGAAACUGAAGUUUGGGGAAGAAAAACACACCACCACUGUUUUUUGCCACAUUUGCUGUGAACACAGCAUUCUCACCUCACACAAAUCCAUGUUCCAGUGAAACAGGGUGCUGCUGCCUUCCCAGAGAAAUGUCCCACAGCUGCUGUGACUAAAAGGAGGUGACAGACAGAAAAGGAGCAGAUAUGAACCAUCUGGAUUGAAAUAAUCUUUGGGCUUUUCUUGGCCAGGGUCAGCCUUGGAGCCCCCAUGUCGUCUAACUCCUCUGCAUUGUUCAAAAUGGCCUGAAGAACUUCUCAACACGGACAGUUGCCCAGGCCAGUCAGGUCCAAGGCCACCGCUGCUCGGGCUGUCAUCAGCUUGAUCUCCGCACCGGCCACCUCCAGGCGUGCUUUCCUGUUUUCUUGGUAGAGCGUGCAGAUCAUUGGCCUGAAAUGUUGGAUUGCUAUUUUUUUCUCUCUUGGAAAAUGAGACUGUUUUACGAUUAUUUCCAGAGGAAUUGAAAUAAAUUGAAUGAUAAAGAUUUCACAGCAGCUGCUUGUCAUGAGUAAUUAUCAGACAGUCUCAGUGACAAAGAUGCUCUCCUUGACCACAUUUUCUCACGCUCCCUGAGCCUUUUUCAGCGAGGCUCUGUCUUCGGCCUUGGUUUUCAGAUUGCCUGGACUAGUUUUAGCAGGAAGUCAAUUCAUUGCCCCUAGUUCUUGAGCUAAAUCCCUCUGUUAAUAAUCAAUAAUUAUAAAUCAGCAAAUAUUUAUAAGCCUCCUGCUACAAUGUCUGUAUUAUGCCCAGAAAUCAUAUUGUAAUAGUGUUCUAGGGCUGCUAUAACCAAGUACCACAGACCGGGCGCCUACAGUAGAUGUAUCCCAUGUGGUAGAUUCAUAGCAGAAAUCGAUCCUGUCACCAUCUGGAGGCUGAGUCCGAGAUCAGGGUGACCACAGACUUGGUCUCCGAGGCCUCUCUCCUGAGCCUACCCAUCUGGAAGAAAUGAAACACUUUCUCUCAUCCUCUGGAAGCCUGAGCUCUCCUUUCCCUCGCAGGGAGAGCCACUGUUUGUUUUUACUGUUGGAAAGAAUAGAAGAGGAUGUUCCAGAACUGAGUUGGACACCCUGGAAAUGAUUCAUCCAAGGUCAGAAUAUGGACGUGAAUGGAGGCGAGUCAGCUUCAACCAUACCAUGAGGACGGUGCCCUAGGAGGUGGCAGAGCCACCAGAGAAAUGGAACCCAAGUCAUGGAAUAACCUCAUACUGCAGAGCCACCCUGCGAAUCCCAGACUGCUCACCUUUGGACUAUCACUGGAGAAAUAAAUAAACUUUCCAGUCGUUAAA